rnacentral:rRNA from 1 species
GUGCCAGCCGCCGCGGUAAUACGUAGGGGGCAAGCGUUGUCCGGAAUUAUUGGGCGUAAAGCGCGCGCAGGCGGUUUUUUAAGUCUGAUGUGAAAUCUUGUGGCUCAACCACAAGCGGUCAUUGGAAACUGGAGAACUUGAGUACAGAAGAGGAGAGUGGAAUUCCACGUGUAGCGGUGAAAUGCGUAGAUAUGUGGAGGAACACCAGUGGCGAAGGCGACUCUCUGGUCUGUAACUGACGCUGAGGCGCGAAAGCGUGGGGAGCGAACAGGAUUAGAAACCCUGGUAGUCC